UCUCGGGGAUGAAUAUUUUUCCAAAAAAACAAAGCAAUGAUUCUAACCUAAAUUAACAUAAAACGUCUGUGGCUGUAUGCUGUCACCGCGUGUUAGCUGUCUCCAACUGCGGCGACUAACAUCUAUUUUCUGAAAACAGCUAUUUUCUGAAAGGCACAAAAAUCAAUGGUUUCACACAUCGAUCAACAUAAAACAUCUGUUUGUUCGCUUCCCGGGUCUUCCCUGUGUGGAGAGCGCUUUGAGUAGUGAAAAAAGCGCUAUAUAAAUGUAAAAGAACUAAUUAAAAGAAUUAUGUCACCGUGAGACGCAAUCUGGAUUGUACUGAGCCCCUCGUGUACCUCAUGUGGACAAAAGUCGACAUCUGCCCUAAAACACUUCCCUUCCUCACCAUCUUCCACUUAACGCCUUAACUCUUCCACUUAACACUUAACUCUCUUCUCCGUACAGGUAAAGUAAAGUUACAUUUUCGUAUUUAUUCUUUUUGUGUAAGAUUGUAUGCAUUUUCAUUGUUCUAGUAUACGAUUUUAUGCAUGAAGUGCGGUUAUAAAGGUUUAAAUAAGCAGUCAUGGGGUUCGGGAACGGAUGAAUCCAUUUUACAUGAUUUGGGGAAAAUGGUUUCAGUUUUUAAACAAAUCGGUUUCUGAAGAGCUUUUAGGAAAGAAUUUAUAAUCGACAUCCGAGGUUCCACUGUAUUUCCUUAUUUAUUUUUUUGUGUAUUAAAUUAAUUAUAUAACCAUUUACUUAUUUCAAUGCCUCCGACAAGUUACGAAACACACCUUGAAAUUUAAUUAUUCAUAGAUUUAUUUAUCUGCGUAUUUAUUAAUUUUGACCAAAAUAUGCCUCCAUAUUAGAUAUAUUUAUGUUCUUAAAUAAAUAUUGAAUGUAGCAACAACAAAGUUGAAAAAUUUAAUGACAGUUUAAGUUGCUUUAGCCAAUAUAUUAAACUGUUCUAUCUAGCUUGUUAAACAACUGCUCUCUCAAAGCUAAGAUUGAAGUUCUUUCAUGAGGUCUCAUCAUGCUAGUGAAGGUGAAUUACCUUCAGGUGAAGAAAUACAUCAAAUUGCAAGAUGGGUUCACAUUUGAGGAGUUUCUAAACAUAGGUAAAUUUGAAUUUAAUUAUGUCUGAUUUGAAAAGUUAAUUUUAUUGACAUUUAUAACCAAAUUUAUCUUGUUUUAGUAAAAAACAAAUUGGGCUUACAGCCAACAAUGCACUUCAAAUCUUUGAUGAGACAGAUACUAAUGUGGAGGAAGAUGUUUUUCAAGAGUUGGUUCAGAGCAACCCACAGAUAUGCUUCACAGUAAAAUGUCCUCCACAAGGAUUUUUUGCUGACCUGGAUUUUUCCGGUGGCAUGUAAUGUCUUUCUGAAAUGCUCAAAUUUCUUUAGAUAGAUAGAGAUAGAGAUAAAUAAAAUAUUUGAAAAUUAAUCAAUAUUGAUCUCCCCUUUAAAAAAAAAAAAAAAAAGAAUUUUCACCCACAGCUACCUCAACACCAAUGCGCUGAUAGACUUUCAAACUCCAGUGAUGUAGAAAGGUUAGAGAGAACCCAACUGAACCCGUCUGCAAGCUCAAACUCUAAUAAUGGCAGAGAAAUCACAGGUGCUGAAAAGGCAAAACAGGUUGUUCAAAAUGCCCUGAAAGCGAAACCUGGUGGUUUGGAUGUUCUCAAAGAAUAUGAGUUAACUAAAACACUGAAGCACAGCAUGAGACGACAGCUUGUUAAUGUUCUUAUUAGCCAUAUGACAGAGGUUCAUGGGUAAGCUAUCGGAGAAUUAAUAAAUCAACACAAUAUCAAGCUUGCUUUGCCUCUAUUCAUACAGAUAUGGAGGUUUAAGUUUUGUAUAAAUGACGAAGUUCUAUUUAAUCUUAUAAAAUUUUUUGGGAGGAUUCCCACCUGUAAACAGAGAGAGACAUAUGCCUAGCACUUAUUUUUGUAUUUAUUUAUUUAUUUAUUUAUUUAUUUUUACUUAGUCCUGUAUAUAGAAUAGUUUGCUGUGCUCAAUGUUACAGACCAGUGUUUACACCAAAUGAUUAAUAGCUGCUGUAACCUACAUGUACAAAAAUGUAAAUUAACACUUGGAUCCCCUGUAUAUUGACACUGAGACCAGGCUUUUUUAUAUAUUUAAAUCAUUUUGGAUGGGAAACCUGCUUUUUUGUUUUAUAGGUUUUGAAAUAUCGUGUAAACUAUUUUGUUUAAUAAAACCAGCAUUUUGAAAA